UGGAGUGGAUGGAGAAGAGGAAAAUGAACUUCUCCCAUGCGGACUACGCAAUACGCUUAGAUCUUAUAGCAAAAACCAAAGGGAUAGCUGCUGCUGAGGAUAUUGGCUCUCACCAGCUGCGAAAAGUCAGUCUGCAUAUGGAUCUCUUUUGAACUGUUAUUGCAAGGAACUUAUGUCUGACAAGGCACUGGCUCUUUUUCAGAAAAUGGAUGAAAUGAACUUUCUUACCGCUUCUUUACCUUUUAACAAUCUCAUGUCACUACAUAUGGGAUUGGGCCAACCUGAGAAGGUGCCUGUCUUAGUUUAUGAGAUGAAGCAGAGGAAUAUCAAACCUUGCUCUUUCACCUAUAAUAUCUGGAUGCAGAGCUAUGGAUGUUUGAAUGAUUAUGAGGGAGUAGAAAGAGUUCUGGCUGAGAUUGAAAAGGAUGAUAAAGAUAAUUGUGAGUGGACUACGUACAGUAAUCUGGCUACGAUCUAUCUCAAGGCUGGACAUUUUGAGAAAGCUGAAUCAGCUCUUAAAAAGGUAGAGGCAAAGAUGGGAUUU
rnacentral:misc_RNA from 1 species